rnacentral:tRNA from 1 species
UGGAAGGUGGCUCAAUGGUAGAGCACUUGCCUUGCAUGCAUGAGGCCCUGGGUUUGAUUCCUCAGCAUCACAU